rnacentral:misc_RNA from 1 species
GAUGAAGAACGCAGCGAAAUGCGAUAAGUAGUGUGAAUUGCAGAAUUCAGUGAAUCAUCGAAUCUUUGAACGCACAUUGCGCCCCUUGGUAUUCCAUGGGGCAUGCCUGUUCGAGCGUCAUUUGUACCUUCAAGCCUUGCUUGGUGUUGGGUGUUUGUCUCGCCUCUGCGCGCAGACUCGCCUCAAAACAAUUGGCAGCCGGCGUAUUGAUUUCGGAGCGCAGUACAUCUCGCGCUUUGCACUCAGAACGACGACGUCCAAAAGUACAUUUUUACACUCUUGACCUCGGAUCAGGUGGGGAUACCCGCUGAACUUAAGCAUAUCAAUAAGCGGAGGA